GAUGAAGAACGCAGCGAAAUGCGAUAAGUAAUGUGAAUUGCAGAAUUCAGUGAAUCAUCGAAUCUUUGAACGCACAUUGCGCCCGCCAGUAUUCUGGCGGGCAUGCCUGUUCGAGCGUCAUUUCAACCAUCAAGCCCCGGGCUUGUGUUGGGGACCUGCGGCUGCCGCAGGCCCUGAAAUGCAGUGGCGGGCUCGCUGUCACUCCGAGCGUAGUAGUUACAUCUCGCUCUGGGCGUGCUGCGGGUUCCGGCCGUUAAAAGCCUUAUUUACCCAAGGUUGACCUCGGAUCAGGUAGGAAGACCCGCUGAACUUAAGCAUAUCAAAAGCGGAGA
rnacentral:misc_RNA from 1 species